GGGUUUGAAGCUUAAGUGGUAUAAAGCAAAAGACUGUUAAUCUUGAGACAGUAGGUUCGAGUCCUACCAAGCCCG
rnacentral:tRNA from 1 species